rnacentral:rRNA from 1 species
GAACCUUAUCGUUUNGAGGAAGGAGAAGUCGUAACAAGGUUUCCGUAGGUGAACCUGCGGAAGGAUCAUU